AAGAAAUUAGUUAAAUCAAAUAACAUUAGAUUGUCAAACUAAAAUUAUCAAUAGAUAUUUCUUC
rnacentral:tRNA from 1 species